GCUUAAGCCGCAGCUGAUGGUUUCAGUCUCUGUUAGCACCUUGGAGCGGUCCAGUGUAGAGAGAGAAGCCUCAGCAUGCCGCUGCUGAAGAGGAAUAUUACCGACACAAGUUUCAUCAUCAGUAUCGAAAGUGGUGUCGAAGAUAUCCAGGAGGAAAAGAAUCCUACACCGACCAACGAAGACUGUGAUUUUCUGGUGAAUUUCAUCACCGGCGAAGAAUCACUGUCAGCCAGCUUUUGCUGUAAGCUGUUUUACACAAUAUUCCGCCUCUGUUUCGUAGGCGAGGAGGGCGCCCGGUGGCAGACGGCGAUGAAGAAACGAUCCACAUCUCGUACAAUUUAAAUAUUUAACCGAAAACCGGACCCUCUGCAGCAGCUUCAUAGCAUCGCUGCACAUCCACGUGCAGGAAGCGAAGGUCGGCGGUCGAGUCGAGACCGGCGCGUUAGCUAAGCAAACCAAAAAAUCCAUGAAUGAGUGAACAGCGUGUGAGCUGAUAUUUUGUUAGUGAAAUAGAAACCCUUUUAUGUAGUGUUCGAUAGUGCUGGUGUAAAAAUCUCUCGGAGAUGGUUGUUAACGGAAAAAAAAAUCGUGAACUGGUUUUCGGUUUGAAUAGAUUUUCUGGAUGAAGCUUAUUGAGUAGGAUUCAUCUAUUCCGAUUUGCUGCUCGUGAACUGUAAAACAAUAAAUUGUAACUACUGACUUACUAUAUCGUCUAGCCAACAGAGCACUACUCGGAUGCAAUCAUAGCCGUACUCAUAACAAUUGUAAAUGCUUUAUGAUUGUUACAUGCGAAAAAAGUACUGCAAGUGCGAAUGAUCAAUACUGUGUAACAUCGCAUUUUUAAGUACCUUGUGAAUAAAUUUAUUGAACCCCAUGUAUCAAA